rnacentral:rRNA from 1 species
GAUGAACGCUAGCGAUAGGCUUAACACAUGCAAGUCGAGGGGCAUCACGAAUUAGCAAUAGUUUGGUGGCGACCGGCGCACGGGUGCGUAACACGUAUACAACCUACCUUCAAUUGGGGAAUAACCUGGAGAAAUUUGGACUAAUACCCCAUAGUAAACGGAAGAGGCAUCUUUUUUGUUUUAAAGAUUUAUUGAUUGGAGAUGGGUAUGCGUAGGAUUAGCUAGUUGGUAAGGUAACGGCUUACCAAGGCGACGAUCCUUAGGGGUUCUGAGAGGAAGGUCCCCCACACUGGUACUGAGACACGGACCAGACUCCUACGGGAGGCAGCAGUGAGGAAUAUUGGUCAAUGGUCGAGAGACUGAACCAGCCAAGUCGCGUGAAAGAAGACGGCUCUAUGAGUUGUAAACUUCUUUUGUACAGGAGUAAAGUGAGACACGUGUGUUUUAUUGCAAGUACUGUACGAAUAAGCAUCGGCUAACUCCGUGCCAGCAGCCGCGGUAAUACGGAGGAUGCAAGCGUUAUCCGGAUUUAUUGGGUUUAAAGGGUGCGUAGGCGGUAUUACAAGUCAGGGGUGAAAUCUUGGUGCUUAACAUUAAAAUUGCCUUUGAAACUGUGGUACUUGAGUGUAAAAGAGGUAGGCGGAAUGUGUUGUGUAGCGGUGAAAUGCAUAGAUAUAACACAGAACCCCGAUUGCGAAGGCAGCUUACUAUCAUACAACUGACGCUGAUGCACGAAAGCGUGGGGAUCAAACAGG